rnacentral:rRNA from 1 species
UGGAAGGUAGGAGUAGGGGAUAAAAUCAGGUUUUGGGAGGAUACUUGGUUUGGUACCUCCCCACUGGAAGUACAAUUCUGUCCAAUUUAUGUGCUUUGUAAUGAGAAAACUAAAAGUAUUAGUGAGGUCUGGGACGGUGAGGUCCUUAAACUUACAUUUAGGAGAAAUUUGAUGACAUGCUCAUGGAGCAAUGGUACCAAAUUAUAG